GAAACCAACAGGGAUUGCCUCAGUAACGGCGAGUGAAGCGGCAAAAGCUCAAAUUUGAAACCCUCGGGAUUGUAAUUUGAAGAUUUGGCAUUGGAGAAAGCUAACCCAAGUUGCUUGGAAUAGUACGUCAUAGAGGGUGACAACCCCGUCUGGCUAACCGUUCUCCAUGUAUUGCCUUAUCAAAGAGUCGAGUUGUUUGGGAAUGCAGCUCAAAGUGGGUGGUAAACUCCAUCUAAAGCUAAAUACUGGUGAGAGACCGAUAGCGAACAAGUACUGUGAAGGAAAGGUGAAAAGAACUUUGAAAAGAGAGUGAAAUAGUAUGUGAAAUUGUUGAUAGGGAAGGAAAUGAGUGGAGAGUGGCCGAGGUUUCAGCCGCCCCUCGUGGGCGGUGUACUGCCGACGCCGAGUCAUCGAUAGCGAGACGAGGGUUACAAAUGGAAGCGCCUUCGGGCGUUCUCCCCUAACCCUCCACACUG
rnacentral:rRNA from 1 species